rnacentral:rRNA from 1 species
AUACGUAGGGUGCGAGCGUUGUCCGGAAUUACUGGGCGUAAAGAGCUCGUAGGUGGUUUGUCGCGUCGUCUGUGAAAUUCCGGGGCUUAACUCCGGGCGUGCAGGCGAUACGGGCAUAACUUGAGUACUGUAGGGGAGACUGGAAUUCCUGGUGUAGCGGUGAAAUGCGCAGAUAUCAGGAGGAACACCGGUGGCGAAGGCGGUUCUCUGGGCAGUAACUGACGCUGAGGAGCGAAAGCAUGGGUAGCGAACAGGAUUAGAUACCCUGGUAGUCCAUGCUGUAAACGGUGGGCGCUAGGUGUAGGGGUCUUCCACGACUUCUGUGCCGUAGCUAACGCAUUAAGCGCCCCGCCUGGGGAGUACGGCCGCAAGGCUAAAACUCAAAGGAAUUGACGGGG